ACAGGAGAAUCGUUUGAACCCAGGAGGUGGAGGUUGCUGUGAGCCGAGAUUGCACCACUGCACUCCAGCCUGGGUGACAGAG
rnacentral:snRNA from 1 species